rnacentral:lncRNA from 1 species
GGGAAGCAGUUCUCUCAGCUGGAGGGCGGUGGAUUGGCUGGGCUUAGAGAAGUGGCGAAAGCUACAGGACAGAGGCGCCCUGAGUGGGAGAGAAAGGGAUCCCGGGAUGGUGCGGCCAUCCACUAGGAUAGAGCUGGGGUCCUAAAGGCCAAGAGGCAGACGAGGAAAGAAAUGUCACAGUUUGUGGGAAUACACUGGAGAUAGGGCCUAGCCAGGUGGAGAUAGCUUGGAGCCCGCGAAAACAAGGUAAGCGGUGUCUGGGUCCAGUUAGCGAGACCGGCGUUCACGUCUGCGGGGCUAUCAGGGCCUCGAGGAGACAGCGCUCCGUGCCACUGCUUAGUGCUUGGCCUUUCGUAGGGAUGGACUUGCUUGAGAGUCUUCCAAGAGAUUUUUAAGUGAUCUGGACUGGGAGCUCCAUUGGCGAUGUUUGGAUCUGGUUUUGAUUUUGAAAGCCCAGGAAGAUUCGCAGACUUUCGAGGCCGCACACUCUUCGGGCUGCCCGGAAUCUGGGCAGCGAUGAGGACUGAGAAGCUGUCUCAAGACCUGAGUCUCUUCUCAGGCGAUCCCAGAUAAGAGGAAGGAGAGAGAGGUUUUCUGACUUCCAACUCAUUAGGGACCAGGGCUGUUUCAGCUUACGUCAUCAGAAAGAUUUAUUCCCCAGCACAGCAAGAAGAUGCGCCUGUGACCCUUUUCAAACUUACUCUCCACUCGGCUUAUGGAGACCAUCAGCUGCAGGACAAAUAUUUUAGUUUGGAUAUGCAUGUCACAAUUAAUAAUAAAAAGAUACAGGACCAAAGCAGACUGAAUGGCUCCAAUUAUCAGAAUGUGAAAGCAUGAGUCGGAAUCUACUUUUUGUACGUCUACUCUGAGGAGUCUCUUCUUUAGCCAAGCAGUACUGGGCCAUGAGAACAUAUCCACAAAGUUGAAGUCAGCUCUGUGAGCCGUGGAGUUCUCCCCAGCUCUGUGAAGCCCUGUGAAGCAGAGUUUUCGGAAGUGAUGAUUAUUUUGAGUCAAAAAUGAUCACCGGACACCACGUAACGUAUACACCAAAGGAACUCAAGAAAUAAUAGCCGCUGCGGGAGCGCUCUAGGCUCCGCUGCCCCUCGGCAUUCAGCCUCCUGUGUGAUUAACCCAGAGGUUGGCCUGACAUUGACCCAGUCCCCAGAUGGAAGAGUCACCUUAUCCUUGAAGCUGUCACUCUUUAUUCGGCACUUUUAUCUUUAUCAGUGCUGUUUUCAUCUUGAAAUAUAAACGCAGGAACGCCUCAAUCUGCAUCUCAACCUAGCCCCAGGCUGAAGGGUUCCGCCAGUGUUAUCAAACACUAAGGCUUGUGCCGUGGACAAUUCAGUCAAUGGUGGCUCACAGAUAUGGCGGUAGUCCCACAGAUUACCAUGAGUUGGAAAGUUCCUACAACCCAGUGAUGUCUUAGCCACCAUAGCAUAAUAACUCCCAUGCUUGUCGUUACGUUGGUGCAGACAGACCUAUGCCAGCUUCGGAGAAUCACUGGAUCAGUCCACGUCAACCUGAACCUGAAAGCCAAAUAUCUUUCCCUCCUUUGUUAGGUUCAUGUUACCCUGAACCUGUGAGCUCAGUAGAAAUUUUCUGGUUAUCUGGAGCCGGCAGUUAUUCAUUAUAGCUCCCCACCACUGACUGACUGAGGGUUAAUUAUCAUCAAACAUCUAUCUGCCCACGAUGCUAAUUAUUCAUACUUCAUGAUUGAGGAUUUGGAGUCGGAGACUCACCUGCAAUAUUUGGAAUACCAGUGGAGAUCCAUAUCAACAUGGAAUUUAUACAGUAGCUGGUGCCAGUCACAGCUAAUGAUGGAACUUCAGUUUAAUAAAAAGACCCCCAACUGAGUAUAACCAUCUCGAAGAAAGUAUACUUAUCAAACAGCUUUCAAUCAGUUCAAGAGAGACACCUUAAUUGUGAAGAGGAAGAACUGCACAGCGGUUGUCACCAUGCCAACUUCAGAUCGAUGGCAUUGCCACUGCUCUUGGUACAUAUAGCCUUGUCUAUGUCCUUAACUGCAUCAACAUCCUUCCUGUUGGGAUGAGAUCUUUGUUUCAGCUGCUAGCGUGUGAUGAGGCUUUUAAUUCGUUACACUAUAAUACCCCUUCGUAAAAUUUAAAUGUGUAAUUAUAAAGGUCAAUGUCUUUUCCUUUAAUUAAAACUUCUAUUCCUUGUUAA